AUAAAUAAAGGGGGACAGAGGGAGAGAGAAAACCUUAAGCAGAUUCCCUGCUGAGCAUGGAUCCCCACAUGGGGCUCAAUCACAUGACCCUGAGAUCAUGUCCUGGGAUAAAAUUAAGACUUGGACACUUAACUGACUGAGCACCCAGGUGCCCAUGAAAUCACUACUCUUCUAUUUCUUUCUCCCUAUUGCUGACUUCCAGUUAGGAAUUUACUGUUUAUAUAGGCCACAUUUAUGACAUCACAGAAUGUGUAACCAUAUGGAUAAUGUUGCCAUUGCCACAUUUUCUCUAAAUGAAUUUUUUAAGAAUGGAAGUCACGUUAUCAAAAGAUUUUAUGUGGGCCUUUAAAAAAAUGCACAAAGGAUUUAAGGUUUAUAAUCAAGUGUUCACCAUUCUUUGAAAUUUGAAAGGUAUAAUUUAAAACGAUAUUUGGAAAAAUGGCUUCAGAGUAAAGACAAACCUUCCGAGGGAACAUGAUGCAGAGGCUGUUCAUCUAUUUUUAAUCCACAUGGAGCCACAGCUCUAAUAUAGCAGACUGAUUAGAAGAAAGAUUCUGUUCCAAGGAGAAAUAGAAUUCAGUUCCUGACUUGUUCACUAAGAUCCCAUGGUACCUGCAAUUUCUAAGGCACAAUCCUUUGAAAAACCCUAAUUUGCUUGAUUACUGUAACUGGCUGAAGUAUUUUCAAAUUUAAGCUCUGUGCUAAAUGUCUUUUAAAUUUGGAUAUAUUAUAAAGAGAUAUUUAAUUCUGGCUCAGAGAAACUCCACUCUCACCAUGAAUAAAAAGUAUUUUACUUACAUUGUGAUUUAGUAGUGCUCUGCUUUAUUGCAAAUAAACAAUUCAUACCUAUUUCAGAUGCUCUGUACUCAUCACAAGAUUCAUUACAAAAUAUAAAUUUAUUAUAAAUAUAGAUAACCAUAAUGCUGUUUGGUCUAGAAUUCAUAAGGUGAUGAAAACCUUUUGGAUUUUUAAAUUGAUGAACAUUAUUGGAUAAAAGGUUUACUUACAUGACAGAAGACAGAAAUAUUCACUUGAAAGUUCCUAAAAAAUAGAUACACGUGGGUUAUCGAUGUAUUUCUUUCCAUCAAAAAUCCUAUGACUAGUUUGUUUCCAUUACAAAAUUUUGUUUUAUUUCAACUAUAAACUUAAUCUCAUAAAAACUUCUGUUCAAAAAUUUUAAUUGUAUAAUAGCCUGGAAAACGUUUUUAUUGCUCAUACUUAAACACUGUCAAUUAUAAUAACAAGUUACUAAUUUAAAAAAUAGCAUAUAGGAUGCCUGGUGGCUCAGUGGUUGAGCGUCUGCCUUUGGCUCAGGUCAUGAUCAUAGGGUCCCAGGAUCGAGUCCC
rnacentral:lncRNA from 1 species